rnacentral:lncRNA from 1 species
ACAUCACCACGCAGAGUCAGUGGAAGGUUAAAGCAGUAGUAAGGUGUGUGGCAUAAAACUGCAUUCUAAGUUCCACAUCACAGUCAUUGCAGUUCUUGAUGGUCUGACAAAGGUGCUACUGUAUGCCCCUGCCUGAUCUUUGCUGCAUACAGGCUCACAAGCUGCUUGUGGAGGACUGCUGCUGCAGCAAUGUCUUGUAGUGUUAACUAACGGCGAUAGAGGACUAAUACUAGGCAUGACUACCAGAAGGUGUUAGGGUGGAUAGUGCAUGUGACCUAUGAUGUAGCAUGUUUUGAGGCAAAUUUUGUUGAGAUGGAUGAGCUGCAGCUGGGUGCACCCAAUAUGAAACUGUUUGGAGCUGUUUCAAAGCUUCUGCUGCAGCAGCUGCUGCAUACAGGCUCACAAGCCACUUGUGGAGAAGCUACUGCUAGCAGCAGCGCUGCUGCACUGUACAGUCACUGUACAGACUUGUCUUGGAGUGUUAACUGACGGUGAUGGAGGACUACUUCUAGGCAUGAAUACCAGAAAGUGUUAGGGUGGAUAGAAUGCUUCUGAGCUAUAAUGUAGCAUGUUUUGAGGCAAAUUGUUGACAGAUCGAUGAGCUGCAGCUGCAGCAGCCGCUGUUGUGGAAAUGUUUGGUGCUGUUUGGAAGCUGCAGAUUGUUUGGAAGCUGCAGCUGCUUCAGCUGAAGCAGGCAAUGCAUAUGGCUUAAUGUUGUUACAUAGCAGGACUUCGGAAUUUCGUAUGCAUGUAGCUGCUGCUAGGCGAUGUGUAUAUGUAAAAUUAUGAAUCCACG